AACGCACAUUGCGCCCUUUGGUAUUCCGAAGGGCAUGCCUGUUCGAGCGUCAUUAUCAACCCUCAAGCCCGGCUUGUCGUUGGGCCUCGCCGUUCCCCCUCGCGGGCGACGGGCCCGAAAGAUAGUGGCAGAGUCGUGUGGACCCUGGAUGCAGCGAGCCUUUUUGAGCACGCGUCUCGGCGGUCCCUCGGCGUUGUCUCAACCGCAACCUUCUCAAUGGUUGACCUCGGAUCAGGUAGGGAUACCCGCUGAACUUAA
rnacentral:misc_RNA from 2 species